AUGUCGAGGCCAGCGGCCGCGGCCGCAGCGGCGCUGCUGGUGAUCCUCGCGGCGGCGGGCGGCGCGGCGGCGAAGACCACGAUCGAGCCCUGCUCCAGCGCCGACUCGUGCGCGGCGCUGCUCGGCUACUCGCUCUACGCCGACAUGAAGGUCUCCGAGGUGGCGGCGCUCUUCGGCGCGGACCCGGCGGCGCUGCUGGCCGCCAACGCGCUCGACUUCGCCUCCCCCGGCGCCGCCAACCGGAUCCUCCCCGCGGGGCUCCUCCUCCGCGUCCCCACCCGCUGCGCCUGCGCCGACGGCGUCCGCAAGUCCGUCUCCGUCCGCUACGCCGCGCGCCCCGCCGACACGCUCGCCACCGUCGCCGACGUCGUCUUCGCGGGCCUCGCCUCCGCCGACCAGAUCCGCAGCGCCAACGGGCUCGCCGAGGCGGACCCCGACGCGCUGCUCGACGCCGGCCAGAUUCUCGUCGUCCCCUUCCCCUGCGUCUGCCUCAACUCCACCGACAACAACCUCCCCGCCGUCUACCUCUCCUAUGUCGUGCGGGUCGGGGACACCGUGCAAUCCAUCGCUGCCACCCACGCCACCACUGUCACGGAUCUCAGCAAUGUGAAUGCCAUGGGGAGCCCCGUCGUGGCACCCGGCGACAUCCUUGCAGUUCCAUUAUCAGCAUGCGCGUCUACGUUUCCUAACUUUGCUUCGGACUAUGGAUUGCUCGUGGCAAACGGGACAUAUGCACUUACUGCUGGUAACUGUGUGGAAUGCAGCUGUGGGCCAGGGGAUCUCAAUCUGUACUGCACUCCAGCUUCAUUAGGAACGUCAUGUUCAAGUAUGCAGUGCUCCAAUAGCAGUCUAAUGCUUGGUAACGUGACUACCCAGCCCACCAGCGGUGGCUGCGGUGUCUCGUCUUGCAGCUAUGCCGGCUUCGUUAACGGAAGCAUUACCACAUCGCUGUCCUCGGGUCUUCAACCUACAUGCCCUGGACCGCAUCAAGUUCCUCCACUCAUGGAGCCGUCCACCGCAGCAAUCCACGACUCGUACCUUGCUCCAUCGCCUUCGCCAGGACCUGGGGAGGCAGGUGGUGAUGUUCCUGGUUCGUCUGACCCUGGAGCAUCCUCCCAUUCUCUUGCUGGAAGCCUCUCGCCCUCCGUGCAUCAGCUGCAUCAAAUGAUCCUCAUUCUUUCUCUAGUCUUCUACCUGCAUAUGUGA
rnacentral:rRNA from 1 species